AGAAUCAACGCUGGCGGCGUGCCUCAGACAUGCAAGUCGAACGAUUAAAGCUCCCUUCGGGGAGUGCAUAAAGUGGCGCACGGGUGAGUAACACGUAAGUAAUCUACCCUCGAGUGGGGAAUAACAUCGGGAAACCGAUGCUAAUACCGCAUAAUGCAGCGGCACCGCAAGGUGACAGUUGUUAAAGAUUUAUUGCUUGAGGAGGAGCUUGCGGCAGAUUAGCUUGUUGGUAAGGUAACGGCUUACCAAGGCUACGAAUCGUAGUAUCCGGUCUAAGAGGACGUCGGACACACUGACACUGAAUAACGGCAGACUCUACGGGAGGCAGCAGUCGGAAUUUUGGGACAAGUGGGGGAAACCUGAACCCAG
rnacentral:rRNA from 1 species